rnacentral:rRNA from 1 species
GCCAUCAUUUAAAGAAAGCGUAAUAGCUCACUGGUCGAGUCGGCCUGCGCGGAAGAUGUAACGGGGCUAAACCAUGCACCGAAGCUGCGGCAGCAACAUUUCGAUGUUGUUGGGUAGGGGAGCGUUCUGUAAGCCUGCGAAGGUGUGCUGUGAGGCAUGCUGGAGGUAUCAGAAGUGCGAAUGCUGACAUAAGUAACGAUAAAGCGGGUGAAAAACCCGCUCGCCGGAAGACCAAGGGUUCCUGUCCAACGUUAAUCGGGGCAGGGUGAGUCGACCCCUAAGGCGAGGCCGAAAGGCGUAGUCGAUGGGAAACGGGUUAAUAUUCCCGUACUCGGUGUUACUGCGAAGGGGGGACGGAGAAGGCUAGACCAGCCGGGCGACGGUUGUCCCGGUUCAAGCGUGUAGGUGGGAAGAAUUGGUAAAUCCGUUCUUCUGUAAACACUGAGGCGUGAUAACGAGGCACUACGGUGCUGAAGUGGUUGAUGCCCUGCUUCCAGGAAAAGCCUCUAAGCAUCAGGUAACAGUGAAUCGUACCCCAAACCGACACAGGUGGUCAGGUAGAGAAUACUCAGGCGCUUGAGAGAACUCGGGUGAAGGAACUAGGCAAAAUGGUGCCGUAACUUCGGGAGAAGGCACGCUGGCAUUAGGUGAAGGGACAGGCUCCCGGAGCCGAAGCCAGUCGCAGAUACCAGCUGGCUGCAACUGUUUAAUAAAAACACAGCACUGUGCAAACACGAAAGUGGACGUAUACGGUGUGACGCCUGCCCGGUGCUGGAAGGUUAAUUGAUGGGGUUAGCGGCAACGCGAAGCUCUUGAUCGAAGCCCCAGUAAACGGCGGC